AGGAAUACCCGCUGAACUUAAGCAUAUCAAUAAGCGGAGGAAAAGAAACCAACAGGGAUUGCCUCAGUAACGGCGAGUGAAGCGGCAACAGCUCAAAUUUGAAAUCUGGCCCCCAGGCCCGAGUUGUAAUUUGUAGAGGAUGCUUCUGGCGACGCGCCUUCCGAGUUCCCUGGAACGGGACGCCAAAGAGGGUGAGAGCCCCGUCCGGUCGUGCGCCUAGCCUCUGUGAAGCUCCUUCGACGAGUCGAGUAGUUUGGGAAUGCUGCUCUAAAUGGGAGGUAUACGUCUUCUAAAGCUAAAUACCGGCCAGAGACCGAUAGCGCACAAGUAGAGUGAUCGAAAGAUGAAAAGCACUUUGAAAAGAGGGUUAAAUAGUACGUGAAAUUGCUGAAAGGGAAGCGCUUAUGACCAGACUUGGGCUUGGUGAAUCAUCCGGCGUUCUCGCCGGUGCACUUUGCCGGUCCAGGCCAGCAUCAGUUCGCUUCGGGGGAUAAAGGCUUCGGGAAUGUAGCUCCCUCGG
rnacentral:rRNA from 1 species